AUUGAACGCUGGCGGCAUGCCUUACACAUGCAAGUCGAACGGCAGCGGACCUUCGGGUGCCGGCGAGUGGCGAACGGGUGAGUAAUAUAUCGGAACGUACCUUUCAGUGGGGGAUAACGUAGCGAAAGUUACGCUAAUACCGCAUAUUCUGUGAGCAGGAAAGCAGGGGAUCGCAAGACCUUGCGCUGAUUGAGCGGCCGAUAUCAGAUUAGCUAGUUGGUGAGGUAAAGGCUCACCAAGGCGACGAUCUGUAGCGGGUCUGAGAGGAUGAUCCGCCACACUGGAACUGAGACACGGUCCAGACUCCUACGGGAGGCAGCAGUGGGGAAUUUUGGACAAUGGGCGCAAGCCUGAUCCAGCCAUGCCGCGUGAGUGAAGAAGGCCUCGGUUGUAAAGCUCUUCGGUCGGGAACGAAAUCGCACAGGUUAAUACCCUGUGUGGAUGACGGUACCGGAAGUAAGAAG
rnacentral:rRNA from 1 species